UAGGGAAUCUUCGGCAAUGGGGGGAACCCUGACCGAGCAACGCCGCGUGAGUGAAGAAGGUUUUCGGAUCGUAAAGCUCUGUUGUUAAGGAAGAACGAGUGUGAGAAUGGAAAGUUCAUGCUGUGACGGUACUUAACCAGAAAGGGACGGCUAACUACGUGCCAGCAGCCGCGGUAAUACGUAGGUCCCGAGUGUUGUCCGGAUUUAUUGGGCGUAAAGCGAGCGCAGGCGGUUAGAAAAGUCUGAAGUGAAAGGCAGUGGCUCAACCAUUGUAGGCUUUGGAAACUGUUUAACUUGAGUGCAGAAGGGGAGAGUGGAAUUCCAUGUGUAGCGGUGAAAUGCGUAGAUAUAUGGAGGAACACCGGUGGCGAAAGCGGCUCUCUAGUCUGUAACUGACGCGGAGGCUCGAAAGCGUGGGGAGCGAACAGG
rnacentral:rRNA from 1 species